rnacentral:rRNA from 1 species
CAGCAGCCGCGGUAAUACGAAGGGUGCAAGCGUUACUCGGAAUUACUGGGCGUAAAGCGUGCGUAGGUGGUGGUUUAAGUCCGUUGUGAAAGCCCUGGGCUCAACCUGGGAAUUGCAGUGGAUACUGGGUCACUAGAGUGUGGUAGAGGAUAGUGGAAUUUCCGGUGUAGCAGUGAAAUGCGUAGAGAUCGGAAGGAACAUCUGUGGCGAAGGCGACUAUCUGGGCCAACAUUGACACUGAGGCACGAAAGCGUGGGGAGCAAACAGGAUUAGAUACCCCCGUAGUCCCUGUCUCUUAUAC